UGUUCACUUUUUGUUUACUUUAGUUUCAGUAUUCGUUAUGGUUUUUAUUUAAAUACUAUUUUCGUGCUGCGACUAUAACCUAUAACCCGGGUGUUUUCUUAACCUAGUUAAAUUAUGAAGCAAUUUUCACACCGAUAUAACGUUAUUACAUGUAUAGAUUUCGGUAAUUUAUGAUCAUGUUUAAAUUUUAAAACGACAUAUCGAUUAUAUAACAUUACGUUUUUGUUCAUGACUGUAUGAAAAGAUCAUUUUAAAUUUUAAACGAGGGUCUUUUGAUAUACCAGACCUGCGUUUGUUUGAAAUAACUGGCUCUGUUCCAUAAAGUGAUUUUAUACAUAGCAUUGGCAUAACUUCAUUGAAAAACGGUGUUGAAUUGCAAAUUGGAUAUUAGAAACGUCUCGAUGCUGCAAAUGACUUCGGGAAGGAGAACGGACCUCUAGCUGGUAUAGCAGCAGCUCUGUUCAUUGUUGGUGCCAACAUUAUAGCUGGUCCAUUCAGAGGUAUCAAGAAAGUGGGCGAUGUUAUGAUAGGGAAAAAGAAGAAAAAGUAAACUUUGUAUUAUCAAGCACUAUUUGAGGAAUGGCUUGAAAUACCAUCAAUGACAAUCCAUUACUAUAUAGCUUUUUUGUAUCUCUACUUGAUUCUUUUCAAUUAAUUUUCACAUUAAUUAAUCUUUAACUCAUCACAGUUUAAUCAGUGCAUAUAUAUAAUUAUACACAGAUUUAAUUGCAUAUUACAGUAUGCAUUUUAUGUCAAAUAAAUUUCGACGUUAUGAAUAACAUUAUGACCAUCAGACAAGACAAGACGAAAUACAUUAACAUUUGAACUGAAGACCAAUGGAAUGUUUUUGAACUGUUGUUCCUAUCCCAUUGAAGAUAUCAUGUAACCAUGCCCUAAUCACAGCUUUAGUUAAUCUUUGAUAUUGUUUAAUAUGUAUAUGUCAGUCUAGAUCUUAUAAACAUAUGUUGCAAACAUUA